UGACGUAUUGUGUUGUUUGAGAUAUUCAAACUUUGAGCGUAGAAACUUGUUGAAAAACCAGUCAAAAAACAGGGUGGAGGGAAUCCCAGUUAAGGUGCUAUGAGUCUCAUUCUGGGUUUCAUCAUCUGUCUAAUCGAAGGCACAAUUAAUAGCGAAAUCGAGUGCUGACAAGCACCGGUGUUUUGGUGAUUGGAUGAUUCACUCCGAAGAGUGAAAUUCCCCUUCGAAAGCAUGUCCGAACAUAAUAAUCAGCUGAUUAAGGGCACGUGGUCUCGAUAUCUGUCUGUAUCAUCUUUGAGCAGCAGCCGUUGGGAGAGUGACCGUAAAUUGCGUGCGUGGAGGAUAGGAGGUGAAGAACAGCUGGAGAGCAGCCGGCCGUCGAUCUGUCCACCUAACCACCAAAUAGACGUUCAUUCCUUAAUAAUAACAAGCAGCCGCGAGACAAGACGGACACGUGCCAUUCCUUCCCCAUUGUAUGCAAAAUUAUUGAGAGAUUUUCAAUCGAAAGUGCCAAAACGCAUUCCGCCACGUCCUAACACCCGUAAUUGAUUCCAUAAGGGAGGAGAGAUCUGUUUGUUUGUCCCACGAGUGUAGAUCAUCAAUUCCCAAAUUAAAUGUUGUAACAUGAGAUGAUGCGAGGGAAGCUGUGACAUUUACGCUGACAUUUGGGGCGUCCCUGGGGCGAUAUGCGGGCCAAUUUCGUAAGGUGUUUAUGAAUUGUUGUUGCUUUUUUCAACAUCAUUUCGUUUUCGAUUCUGCGCGCGGAUGUGGCGAUGGUGAAUGCACUCGUAUUGAAUUGGUAAGCAGAAAUCGAAGAAGAGGCGAGAAUUGCGUGCGUAGUUGUUACAACAUCCGAUCGACGGACGAAAGUCAAUCUAUUCGGGGCUUAUUCAGCGAUUAUAGGCGCGAAUAUCCCGAUCGCGACAUCAGCAACACGACACAUUGCAACAGUUUUCAAGCCAACAUCAUUUCGUGGCUUUUUCAUUUUUGUUGGUAAUAAAAAUUAUAAAACAA